rnacentral:lncRNA from 1 species
GGAAGAGUAAAUUGUAGGCUAAUCUUAUAUCUAUCUUUAUAAGAUAAAAAGAUUGUUUUGAUCAAACUUUGACUCAUAAAUAUAAUAACAAAAUGAAAUCACACGAAAUAUCUAAAAUUACAAUAAAAUAAUUUUUUUAAAAAAAAAAGACAAAGGAGGAGUUAGAGUAACAGUCCAUCUCUAUCAAACUUUAAAAUAUAAAAGGAACUAUUAAAAAUGUAGAAGUAAUAAUUAUAAAAAACUAAAUAAAGACAUAAAUGGACAAGGAAGU